AAGAUUGGCCAGGCAUCUUGGUGCAUGCCUGUAAUCCCAGCAGCUUGGGAGGCUGAGGCAGGAGGAUCGAGAAUUCAAAGCCAGCCUCAGCAAAAGUGAGUUGCUAAGCAACUCAGUGAGACCCUGUCUCUAAAUAAAAUACAAAAGAGGGCUGGGGAUGUGGCUUAGUGGUCGAGUGCCCCUGAGUUCAAUCCCCAGUAAACCACCCCACUCCGAAAAGGGGGACAAGAUUGUAAGACUCAGGAGGACCAACUCCAGCCUCCAGGAUGAAAUUUGUCCCAGCUCCUCCAUUUUUUGGUGAAAGGGUUACUUUUCCAUAAAAAGAAUUCUGUGCAACCAAGUAAAAUGUGAAAAAUUAGAUCCCAAACUAUUUUAAAAUAGCUCUGUUCUUAAUACUCUUUUAGAAAGAUGGAAACAUCAGGUAGAAGGUCUUUGCAUCAUCUCUAUUUACUUGAAGAUUUUAUUGCUCCUUUUCUUACAUGCUGCUACACCCUAUAUCAGAAGACCUAGGCCUGUUUUGACAAGAGAUUAUUCUAACUGCAGCACAAUUUGUAUGAGACCUAUGUAACAGGCCUGUCUACCUCAUGGAAAUUGCAGUUGGCCGCCCAGUCAUUCCAGUUAAUCAGACACACAUUACGUGGGAAGCCUGCCAUUAAGUUUGAUGCUUUGAUGCCUGUCUGAGACUGUGUGAUGUGGUUAAGCAUAGGAAUCAUGAACUUCUGUGAGUGACUGACCUUCUUUAUAUCCUGUUUACAGGUAUGUGAAAUGAGGAGUUCCAGGUCCUUUUAUUACAAGAGAGAAGCUUCAGAAAGCUCCGAGGACUUGGCAAAAUCAGCUACUAGAAUAUGCUGCCAGAGGCGAUAGAGAUGGACGCUCACCUACCACCAGGCCAUUCUUAGACUCACUUUCAAAUUAGCCCGUGGGCCCGUCUCUGGGCAAUUUAGACAGUGAAACUGACUUUGUUGACCUGCCUGCAGCUUAUUAGAACAGGUGAUCUAUGCUAAUGUAUUUUUCUCUUAAAACACAGCUUUCUUGUAAUUUAAAGUGCUUUUAUGAAAAUAUUUGUAAUUAAUUAUAUAUAGUUGAAAAUAGUAAAAUGCUCUCCCCAUUAUAAUAUAUUUUUGUAUGCAAAUAAAAUUUGAACUGGAGUCUAUAGUUUGUAAGCUUCCCUUCUCUUUAUUUCUCUCCCUGUGUUUCCAUUCAGUAAUACUCUAGCAGGAACAAAAAAAUCAGCACAUAAGAUUAUAUAUACCACAUACUAUGCUAUUCUUUUUGGGGGGUGGUACCGAGAAUUAAACUCAGGGGUAUUCCUCAGACCUAUUUUGUAUUAUAUUUAGAGACAGGAUCUCACUGAGUUGCUUAGUUCCUUGCCAUUGCUGAGGCUGGCUUUGAAUUCGAGAUCUUCCUGCCUCAGCUGAGCUGCUAGGAUUACUGUCAUGUGCUGCUGCGCCCAGCUAUAAAUUGCACUCUCUUUAGCCUCUUUCUUCUCCUCAAGCUUCUGGGAAAGCUUUUAUGUUGAAAGCAAAUAUUUAUUUCUUUUUGAAGUUGAGAUAUUUUUAUGGUUUGGGUACGAGGUGUCCCCUAAAAGAUCAUGUUUUAAUGCAGGAGUAUUCAGAGGUGAAGUGCUUAGACUAUGAGAGCUGUAACCUAAUCUGUCCAUCCUAGUUUGAAUGGAUUAACUGGGUAGUAACUGUAGGCAGGUGGGACAUGGCUGGAGGAGGUGGGUCACUGGAGGCAUGCCUUGCAUCCCUUUCCCCUUCCCUCUCUGUGCUUCUGCUGCUGCUGUCCUUGCUCCACGAUGUUCUGCCUCACCUUGGGCCCAGAGCAGGGGAGGUACUGACCAUGGACUAAACCUUUGAAACUGUGAGCCCCUAAUAAACUUUUCCUCCUUUAAGUUGUUCUUAUCAGUUGUUCUUAUCAUUUUGGUCACAGUGACACAGUGCUGACUAACACAGAGAUAAUUCCCAUUUUGUAACAUGCAAUUCAAUGGAUUUCAGUAUAUUCAAAGAUAUUGUAAACAUCACCACUAUCUAAAUCUCUGCCUCUAUGGAUUUAUAUAGUCUGGAAUUUCAUAUAAAUGAAAUAUAUGAUGUUUUGUAUCUAGUUUCUUUCACUUAGCAUAAUAUUUUUAAAGUUCAUCUAUGUUGUCGCAUGAAUCAGUACUUUAAUCCCUUCUAUGGUCCAGUAAUAUGUUCUUGUGUGGAUAUGCCACCUUUUGUUUAUGAAUCCAUUGGUUAACGGACAUUUGAAUUAGUUCCACUUUUUGGCUAAUGCAUAUACAUGUGAAAGUAUUUGUAUGAAUGUAUGUUGUCAUUUCUCUUUAUUUUUUCAUUUCACUAGGGGUUGAACCCAGGGACAUUUAACCACUGAGCUUCAUUCCCAGCCCUUUUAAAAUUUUUUAUUUCAAGACAGAGUCUUGCUAAGUUGUGUAGGCCCUUCACUAAAUUGUUGAGGCUGGCCUUGAGCUUGUGAUCCUCCUGCCUCAGCCUCCUGAGUCACUGGGAAUACAGGCAUGCACCACCAUGCCUGGCCUUGUCAUUUCUCUUGAGUGUAUCACUAGAAGUGGAAUUCCUGGGUCAUGUGUUAACUGUAUGUUUAACUUUUUGAGAAAUUACCAAACGUUUUCAAAGCAGCUGCACAUUCCCAUUGGGUUGCAUGCAGGUUUCAACUUCUCCACGUUCUCAUCAACACUUGUAAUUCUCUCUUUUUGAAUAUUGCCAUCCUAGUGAGUGUGAAGUAGUACCUCAUUAUAGCUUUGUUUUUUUUUUUUUCUAUAUAGUUUAAUUUAUUUAUUUUUAUUUUUAUUUUUAUUUAUUUUUAUUUUUUAUUGUUGGUUGUUUAUAGCUUUGUUUUGUAUUUACUUUGUUUUACAUUUUUCAUGACAAAAGAUGUCUUUAUGUGUUUAUUGGCCAUUGUCAUAUCUCUUUGGAGACAUAUCUAUUCAAAUCCUUUGUCUGCUUUUAAAAAUUGGACUCUGUUUUUUAUGUCAAGUUACAGGAAUUUCAAUGUAUUCUGGAUACAAGCUCCUUAUUGGGUAUAUGAUUUACAGAUAUUUUCUUCAAUUUUGUGUAUUGUCUAUUCACUUUUUUGUCCUUUGAAGCUUAAAAGUUUUAUAUUUUGAAGAAACCCAUUUUAUUUUUUUUUCUGUUUGUUUCUUGUGGUAUUGAUGUCAUAGCUAAGACAUUGUUGUCUAAUCUAAGAUCACAGUUACCAGUAUGCUUUCUUUUAAUAAUUUUACUCCUGAAAGAAUAGUUUUAGCUUUUAACAUUUAUGUCAGUGACAUACUUUGAGCUAAUUUUAGUAUGUGAUGUAGGACAUAGGAGUCCAACUUCAUUAUUUUGUGUGUGAAUAUCCAGUUGUCACAAAAUAGCACUAUUAUUGAAAAGUCAAUUUUUUUUCCCGUUGAAUCAUGUUGGUACCCUUGUGGAAAAUCAAGUAGCCAUAAAUAUAUAGUUUUUAAAAAAUGUAUCUUCAAUUCCAUUCCACUGUUCUACAUAACUAUCCUUAUUGUAUUACUACAUAGUCUUGAUUAUUAUAGCUUUAUAGUAAGUUUGAAAUUCAAAUGUGUAAAUUGUAUCCUUCUUUUGGUUGGUAUGGGUCCCUUGCAUUCCUUUAAAAAUUUAGUAUUACCUUGUUAAUUUCUGCAAAAAAAGGCAGAUGGGAGUUUUGUAGAUUGUAUUGAAUUUAUAGAUUACUCUGGGGAGAGUUGACCUCUUAAUGACAUUAGUCUCCUUUGCAGUUUUUAAACAUAAAAUAUCUUUAAAUUUGUUUUCUUUAAUUUCUUUUGAUCCUGUUUUGUAGUUUUCACAGUACAAAUUUUGCCUGCCUUUCACUAAAUUUCUUUAUAAGUAUUUUAUUCAUUUUGAUGCUACUGUAAAUAGAAUGUUUUUCUUAUUUUAUUUCUAGGUUUCAUUGCUAGCAUAUCGAAAUACCAUUGAUUUUUGAUAUUGAUCUUGUGUCUUGAAACCUUGCUAUACUUGUUAAUUAUAUCUAAUAGUUUAUGUGUGUGUAAUUCUAUAUUACUUGCAAAUAGAAAUGUUUUACUUCUUCUUGCAUAUGCUGAAUGCUAACCUCUUGUUUAGAACUUCCAGUAUAAUGUUGAAAAGAAAUGGUGAGAGGACACCAUCCUCAUUUUGUCCCUGGUCUAAGAGAAUAAGUUUCUUUCAGUAUUUUUCAUUAAGUAUAAUAUUAGUUGUGGGAUCUUUUUAAAAAAAUCGAAUGAACCCUUGAGUUGUUUUCUAAGCUUGAUUUUUCCAUUACCUGGAUCUGGCACUUGUUCAUGCAUCAGAGCCUUGAUUCCCUUUGGAUAAUUUUUUUUUUCAAUCAGGACACAAGUGGCUAUUAUUUUCACUGUAACUUUUAUUACUGGCCUCUUUUGGAAUUGAAGAUCUAACUUCAUUUGGCAGCUCUUUCUGUAUGGGCUCCUGGGAUCUGGAUUCCCAAAGUUAGAAAUGUAGUAUGUGAAGUUUUAUAAGGAAAGGAAAUGGAUUCUUUUUAUAAGUGUGUGGGAAGGGCAGUUUGUGCUCCAUAAACCCCUGUUGGAUAAUGACUUAGGGACAAAUGGGCUGUGGACUGAGUCACAGCUUGGGGUUCUGGGAAUGCCAAAAAAAGGAAAAGUGUUUUAGAAUUUCUCAAGAUGUGUUUCAAGGAUUAUAGUCCUAACCUGUUUUGAAAAAUAAGGAUUAAGUUAUUAAGGUAUUAAGGUCAUAUACUUGAAAAUGCUGUAUGCUACAUAUUCCACUUAAAGAUUUAUUAUGCAUAUUAUUGUAUAAGUUACUUAGGAGUCAGUCUAAGUUGCUGGAUCAGAGAACCAAACAGGGUGGCUUGAAAAAGAGGGAAGUUUCUUUCUCCUUAGCAUUCCCAAAAUGAGUGGUACAGUGUUGGGAGGGUGGCUUUCUUAUCCAAAGUGACUGCUCCUGAUCUUAUCACAUUUACAGCCCAGCAAUCAGAAAGGAGGAAAAUCAAGUCAAGCUCAGGCCUGUUUCUUUCAACGACAUGAGUAGAAGGCACAGUCACUUCUGCUCACUUCCCUGUGUUCAAGUCUUAAUCAAAUGAUCAUUCCAAGCUGUGGGGGAGGCUGGGGAAGAGUUUCAGCUGAGCAGUUAUUUGCUUAGCUAAAAUUUGAGAAUUCCAUUAUUUAAGAAAGAUGAAGAGAAUGGGUAUUGGAGGGCAUCUAGUCAUCUUUUCUGUGGCACAUUGAAACUUGGAAGUAUCCUGCAGCUAAGAGACCUAGCUUUUGUCUUCUUUUUUUUUGAAAAGCUGUCAAUAAUCCACAGCAUUUUGGUGUUCCUUGGAACACCCCAUGGGAAGUGCUAUCACAGGUAACCUCAUUCUUGUGGGAUCUAUUGUACCCCACCUUCUCCAAGAGGAUGGCUCUUGCAAACAGUUCAAUUGCUACCUGGAGAAUGUCAGCCAGCAGGCUUUUGGGAACAGAACGAGACUGGAUAUUACGAGGACAAAGCUGACAUGUUUUUGACUGGGAAUUUUCUAACUUCUAGGAGGAAUAGCUAAAG
rnacentral:lncRNA from 1 species